rnacentral:rRNA from 1 species
CCACACCCGUUCCCAUCCCGAACACGGUAGUUAAGCUUCUCUGCGCCAAUGGUAGUUGGGGGCUUCCCCCUGCGAGAGUAGGUCGCUGCCGGGC